UGCGGGAUUGUCUAGUGGUAGGACGCCUGACUCUGGAUCAGGUAGCCCAGGUUCGAAUCCUGGUCCCGCAGCCA
rnacentral:tRNA from 1 species